rnacentral:rRNA from 1 species
AGAGAGAGACAUGCGCGCAUAUCAAUAAGCGGAGGAAAAGAAACUAACAAGGAUUCCCCUAGUAACGGCGAGUGAAGCGGGAAGAGCUCAAAUUUGAAAUCUUAAAGGGUUUCCCUUUACGAAUUGUAGUUUAAAGAAGUGUUUUCUGUUGAGGUUUUGGUAAAAGUUCUUUGGAAUAGGACAUCAUAGAGGGUGAGAAUCCCGUAUUUGACCUUUACUUUCAACUUUGUGAUACACUUUCAAAGAGUCGGAUUGUUUGGGAAUGCAGUCCAAAAUGGGUGGUAAAUUUCAUCUAAAGCUAAAUAUUGGCGAGAGACCGAUAGCGAACAAGUACCGCUGAGGGAAAGAUGAAAAGAACUUUGAAAAGAGAGUUAAACAGUACGUGAAAUUGUCAAAAGGGAAGCGUUUGACACCAGUGUUGUUUUUCUGAAAAUCAAUUAAAGAACUGUUUAUGCCUAAGUUGUUUAGACUUUAUCAGCUAACUGUUUAGUUUUGAGCUUUUCUUUAAUGCACUUUUCAGUUAACAAGUCAACAUCAAUUUCUUUUGCUGUAAAAAAGCUUGAGGAAGGUGGCUUGAGAUUCGUCUUAAGUGUUUAUAGCCUCUUGCCUAUGCAGUCGGAGAGAUUGAGGUCUGCAGCGUAGAUCCUUCGGGGCUAAAUGCAUUUGUGCUAAGUUAUAGCAUUUUAUAGACAACUUGUUGACUAUGAUCUGUCUUGUAGCUUACUCGCUUAUGCUAUUUUACCUACGCUUAGGAUGUUGAGCGCAUGUCUCUCUCU